rnacentral:lncRNA from 1 species
CUCCACGCUCCUGUGCAACCCCGCAAAGGGCGAGGGGAGGGCCCUCACUCGGAGAAGAGGAGAAAAAUUAAAAAGGAAGGGUGACGAACUACGAUGGAAACAUAUGAAGGAUGAACCGCACCAAAGACCUAAAGGACUUCGUCUCAACAGAGACGGGGAGUUCCUACCAAACACCCCCGGCCUCUAAAAAGACUCCCGACAC